AAAUUGUAAUUUCCAAACCUAAUUUUAAGACGGCAGCCCAAUCGACUUAUCUUUUCUCCUGAUUCUUCAUCCUUAUCUCCCAAAAUUGCCCCCAAUUCAAUAUCUUUAGCCUACAUGAUUCUUGCACAACGAACUAUUCAUCCCAACAGUCGGUGUACAUUGAAGACGCCAAUUGAUGAACGUGUAAAUUGAAGACGCCGAUUGAUGAUUGAAACGGUGGAAACAGUUAUAAAUAUGAUCAAUGAUCAAUUAGGUUUGAUGAUUGAAAUCAACUCUUGAUAUUGAAGAUGUUCAAUCUGAUUUGGUUUUGAAAUACGAUUAGCAUGGAUAGGGCUCAUUUGAUUUGUUGAUUAUGAUGGACAACAUUCAAUUGCAUGCUGAAUUUUAGAAUCAAGAAUGGUUAUUUUCUAGGUUCUAGGGUUCCUACCACUAUUUCGGCUACCCACUUGAAGAUGCAUGCUCUGUUUUGGUCGACUCUGCAACAAGGUUAGCGUUUCUUGUUAUUGUUUGGAGUUAUACCCGUUUAUGUUUGUUAGGAAAAGAUAUCAUCCCUACUAGGAAACCACUUGUUACAAUUUCGUCAAUCCGUUACAAGGUAGGUAACACCCCCUUUUAUUGUUCUUGGUACAAGACAUUUGUGUUUAGAUACCAUAAAUUAAAUUACGUUUGUCUUGUUGUUUAUGCAGGGCGAUUUGUGCAUAUCUCACCAACAAACCAUCACUUCCCUUCUCUAUUACGAGUACAAGACGAAGAUAGAGGUCGCAGACAUAGGGGUUUGAAGGAGGUUCACAAAAGGUGUGGGGAAAAUGCGACUGCGGCGUGGAAUGUGUCUUUUUGGAACUAGAUGUGACUCGUUACAACCUAUACAAGAACUUAACUGUUUUGAUUGUUAA